AAGAAGUUAGUUAAUUUAAUAAUAUAAAUUUGUCAUUUUUAAGAAGCUAAGUUUAGUACUUUUUG
rnacentral:tRNA from 1 species